rnacentral:misc_RNA from 1 species
AUUACGAAAGGAUCACUAUUUCAGAUAAGAAUGCAGCCCGGGGUAGUUGCUAUUGGGCUGAUUGCUGCAGUUGCAGUUGUAUUGCAGUACGCUCUUCAUAAGGUUGAGGAGGGUCAUGUCGGAGUAUAUUUCAGAGGUGGCGCGAUGUUGGUUGGUAUGUCAAGUCCAGGCUUUCACAUGAUGAUCCCAUUCAUAACAUCAGUUCGAAAUAUCCAGACUACCCUGCAGACCGAUGAAGUAAAGAAUGUGCCGUGUGGUACCAGUGGUGGAGUUAUGAUAUACUUUGACAGAAUUGAGGUAGUGAACGUACUGCAGACCAAUGCUGUUUACGAUAUUGUAAAGAAUUUUACAGCGGACUACGAUAAACCUCUGAUAUUUGACAAGGUUCACCACGAGUUAAACCAGUUCUGUUCUAUACAUAAUCUACAGGAGGUUUAUAUCGAACUGUUUGACCAAAUUGACGAAAAUCUAAAGACAGCGUUGCAGGUCGAUUUGACUGAAAUGGCCCCAGGGUUAAGAGUUCAUUCUGUUCGUGUUACCAAGCCUAAAAUUCCAGAAACCAUCAGGAAGAACUAUGAGUUGAUGGAAGCAGAGAAGACCAAACUGUUGAUCUCGACCCAGCGGCAGAAGGUUGUGGAGAAGGAUGCAGAGACGGAGAGGAAGAAAGCUGUUAUAGAGGCAGAGAAGGAGGCGCAGGUGGCAAAGAUCAAGUACGAACAGAACCUAAUGGAGAAGGAAUCUAAGCAGAAGAUGGAAACUAUUGAUGAUGAGAUUCAUCUUGCAAAGGAGAAAAGUAAAACAGACGCCGAGUUCUAUAGGAUAGAAAAGAAAGCAGAAGCAAAUAAACGUCUGCUUACGAAGGAAUAUCUUGAACUCAAGAAAAUCGAAGCAAUUGCCAGUAAUAACAAGGUUUACUUUGGACCCAGUAUUCCAAAUAUGUUCCUGGGAGAGUCUGAGAAUAAACCCAGGCCAUCAUCUACUGUAUCCUCUCAGAAAACAGAACACAUCCCAGUCCCUCUUUAGUCAUAGAUAGAUACACACACACUUAUUGUUAAUACAGGGUGUCCCAAUAAAGAUUAAUUAAGACAGUUGACUUUUUUUAAUUUCCUCAUUCCUUCACUUUUCGCUUGACCCAGAAAUAAGUUUAGCUUUAAACUUCAAAGAAAAGGCGCGCUUUUCUUAAAUUAGCUUUUUUUAAAGUUGUUUAUUUUUCAUUCUCCACAAUACUCACAUUUUAAUAAAAAAAAGUUUCAACGAUUUUUUACCAUUUCAACACUUAAACAUAAAGAUGGGUAAGCAAAUAAACACCUAACCCUGAAAAAAAUAUUUUUCAUGUCUGAUUUUUUUUCCGAUUACUUAUUUAAUGAUAUCUCGAUGAAAGUCUGAAAUUGCCAUGUUUUGAAAGUAUGUGAUACGUGGAUUUUUGUGAUUUAUUACUGUGAUUAUUAUCAUUUAACGAGCUCAUAAUAAACCUUAAUUUGUUUC